rnacentral:rRNA from 1 species
UACCCGCUGAACUUAAGCAUAUCAAUAAGCCGCCUGAAAGGGAUCAACAAGGAUUGGCCUAGUAACUGCGAGUGAAGCGGGAAAAGCUCAAAUUUAAAAUCUGGCGGUCUCUGGCCGUCCGAGUUGUAAUCUAGAGAAGUAAUGCCCGUGCUGGACCGUGUACAAGUCUCCUGGGAUGGAGCGUCAUAGAGGGUGAGAAUCCCGUCUCUGACACGGACUACCAGUGCAUUGUGGUAUGCUCUCAACGAGUCGAGUUGUUUGGGAAUGCAGCUCAAAAUGGGUGGUAAAUUCCAUCUAAAGCUAAAUAUUGGCGAGAGACCGAUAGCGAACAAGUACCGUGAGGGAAAGAUGAAAAGAACUUUGGAAAGAGAGUUAAACAGUACGUGAAAUUGCUGAAAGGGAAACGCUUGAAGUCAGUCGCGUUGGCCAGGGAUCAGCCUUGCUCUUGCAUGGUGUACUUUCUGGUUGACGGGUCAGCAUCAAUUUUGACCGCUGGAAAAGUUCUUGGGGAAUGUGGCAGCUCCGGCUGUGUUAUAGCCCCAAGUUGCAUACGGUGGUUGGGAUUGAGGAACUCAGCACGCCGCAAGGCCGGGUUUCGACCACGUUCGUGCUUAGGAUGCUGGCAUAAUGGCUUUAAGCGACCCGUCUUGAAACACGGAA